rnacentral:rRNA from 1 species
AACGAACGCUGGCGGCAGGCCUAAAACAAGCAAGUCGAGCGAAGCCUUCGGGCUUAGCGGCGGACGGGUGAGUAACGCGCGGGAACGUGCCCUAUGGUACGGAAUAGCCCCGGGAAACUGGGAGUAAUACCGGAAGUGGUCGAGAGACGAAAGAUUUAUCGCCAAAGGAUCGGCCCGCGUUGGAUUAGGUAGUUGGUGGGGUGAUGGCCUACCAAGCCGACGAUCCAUAGCUGGUAUGAGAGGAUGAUCAGCCACACUGGGACUGAGACACGGCCGAGACUCCUACGGGAGGCAGCAGAGGGGAAUCUUAGACAAUGGGGGAAACCCUGAUCUAGCCAUGCCUCGUGAUCGAUGAAGGCCUUAGGGUUGUAAAGAUCUUUCAUUGGGGAAGAUAAUGACUGUACCCACAGAAGAAGCCCCGGCUAACUCCGUGCCAGCAGCCGCCGUAAAAC